rnacentral:rRNA from 1 species
AAAUUGAAGAGUUUGAUCAUGGCUCAGAUUGAACGCUGGCGGCAGGCCUAACACAUGCAAGUCGAACGGUAACAGGAAACAGCUUGCUGUUUCGCUGACGAGUGGCGGACGGGUGAGUAAUGUCUGGGAAACUGCCUGAUGGAGGGGGAUAACUACUGGAAACGGUAGCUAAUACCGCAUAACGUCGCAAGACCAAAGAGGGGGACCUUCAGGCCUCUUGCCAUCGGAUGUGCCCAGAUGGGAUUAGCUUGUUGGUGGGGUAACGGCUCACCAAGGCGACGAUCCCUAGCUGGUCUGAGAGGAUGACCAGCCACACUGGAACUGAGACACGGUCCAGACUCCUACGGGAGGCAGCAGUGGGGAAUAUUGCACAAUGGGCGCAAGCCUGAUGCAGCCAUGCCGCGUGUAUGAAGAAGGCCUUCGGGUUGUAAAGUACUUUCAGCGGGGAGGAAGGGAGUAAAGUUAAUACCUUUGCUCAUUGACGUUACCCGCAGAAGAAGCACCGGCUAACUCCGUGCCAGCAGCCGCGGUAAUACGGAGGGUGCAAGCGUUAAUCGGAAUUACUGGGCGUAAAGCGCACGCAGGCGGUUUGUUAAGUCAGAUGUGAAAUCCCCGGGCUCAACCUGGGAACUGCAUCUGAUACUGGCAAGCUUGAGUCUCGUAGAGGGGGGUAGAAUUCCAGGUGUAGCGGUGAAAUGCGUAGAGAUCUGGAGGAAUACCGGUGGCGAAGGCGGCCCCCUGGACGAAGACUGACGCUCAGGUGCGAAAGCGUGGGGAGCAAACAGGAUUAGAUACCCUGGUAGUCCACGCCGUAAACGAUGUCGACUUGGAGGUUGUGCCCUUGAGGCGUGGCUUCCGGAGCUAACGCGUUAAGUCGACCGCCUGGGGAGUACGGCCGCAAGGUUAAAACUCAAAUGAAUUGACGGGGGCCCGCACAAGCGGUGGAGCAUGUGGUUUAAUUCGAUGCAACGCGAAGAACCUUACCUGGUCUUGACAUCCACGGAAGUUUUCAGAGAUGAGAAUGUGCCUUCGGGAACCGUGAGACAGGUGCUGCAUGGCUGUCGUCAGCUCGUGUUGUGAAAUGUUGGGUUAAGUCCCGCAACGAGCGCAACCCUUAUCCUUUGUUGCCAGCGGUCCGGCCGGGAACUCAAAGGAGACUGCCAGUGAUAAACUGGAGGAAGGUGGGGAUGACGUCAAGUCAUCAUGGCCCUUACGACCAGGGCUACACACGUGCUACAAUGGCGCAUACAAAGAGAAGCGACCUCGCGAGAGCAAGCGGACCUCAUAAAGUGCGUCGUAGUCCGGAUUGGAGUCUGCAACUCGACUCCAUGAAGUCGGAAUCGCUAGUAAUCGUGGAUCAGAAUGCCACGGUGAAUACGUUCCCGGGCCUUGUACACACCGCCCGUCACACCAUGGGAGUGGGUUGCAAAAGAAGUAGGUAGCUUAACCUUCGGGAGGGCGCUUACCACUUUGUGAUUCAUGACUGGGGUGAAGUCGUAACAAGGUAACCGUAGGGGAACCUGCGGUUGGAUCACCUCCUUA